GGGUUGUGAGGUUAAGCGACUAAGCGUACACGGUGGAUGCCCUGGCAGUCAGAGGCGAUGAAGGACGUGCUAAUCUGCGAUAAGCGUCGGUAAGGUGAUAUGAACCGUUAUAACCGGCGAUUUCCGAAUGGGGAAACCCAGUGUGAUUCGUCACACUAUCAUUAACUGAAUCCAUAGGUUAAUGAGGCGAACCGGGGGAACUGAAACAUCUAAGUACCCCGAGGAAAAGAAAUCAACCGAGAUUCCCCCAGUAGCGGCGAGCGAACGGGGAGCAGCCCAGAGCCUGAAUCAGUGUGUGUGUUAGUGGAAGCGUCUGGAAAGGCGCGCGAUACAGGGUGACAGCCCCGUACACAAAAAUGCACAUGCUGUGAGCUCGAUGAGUAGGGCGGGACACGUGGUAUCCUGUCUGAAUAUGGGGGGACCAUCCUCCAAGGCUAAAUACUCCUGACUGACCGAUAGUGAACCAGUACCGUGAGGGAAAGGCGAAAAGAACCCCGGCGAGGGGAGUGAAAAAGAACCUGAAACCGUGUACGUACAAGCAGUGGGAGCACAGAGCAAUCUGUGUGACUGCGUACCUUUUGUAUAAUGGGUCAGCGACUUAUAUUCUGUAGCAAGGUUAACCGAAUAGGGGAGCCGAAGGGAAACCGAGUCUUAACUGGGCGUUAAGUUGCAGGGUAUAGACCCGAAACCCGGUGAUCUAGCCAUGGGCAGGUUGAAGGUUGGGUAACACUAACUGGAGGACCGAACCGACUAAUGUUGAAAAAUUAGCGGAUGACUUGUGGCUGGGGGUGAAAGGCCAAUCAAACCGGGAGAUAGCUGGUUCUCCCCGAAAGCUAUUUAGGUAGCGCCUCGUGAAUUCAUCUCCGGGGGUAGAGCACUGUUUCGGCAAGGGGGUCAUCCCGACUUACCAACCCGAUGCAAACUGCGAAUACCGGAGAAUGUUAUCACGGGAGACACACGGCGGGUGCUAACGUCCGUCGUGAAGAGGGAAACAACCCAGACCGCCAGCUAAGGUCCCAAAGUCAUGGUUAAGUGGGAAACGAUGUGGGAAGGCCCAGACAGCCAGGAUGUUGGCUUAGAAGCAGCCAUCAUUUAAAGAAAGCGUAAUAGCUCACUGGUCGAGUCGGCCUGCGCGGAAGAUGUAACGGGGCUAAACCAUGCACCGAAGCUGCGGCAGCGACACUAUGUGUUGUUGGGUAGGGGAGCGUUCUGUAAGCCUGUGAAGGUGUGCUGUGAGGCAUGCUGGAGGUAUCAGAAGUGCGAAUGCUGACAUAAGUAACGAUAAAGCGGGUGAAAAGCCCGCUCGCCGGAAGACCAAGGGUUCCUGUCCAACGUUAAUCGGGGCAGGGUGAGUCGACCCCUAAGGCGAGGCCGAAAGGCGUAGUCGAUGGGAAACAGGUUAAUAUUCCUGUACUUGGUGUUACUGCGAAGGGGGGACGGAGAAGGCUAUGUUGGCCGGGCGACGGUUGUCCCGGUUUAAGCGUGUAGGCUGGUUUUCCAGGCAAAUCCGGAAAAUCAAGGCUGAGGCGUGAUGACGAGGCACUACGGUGCUGAAGCAACAAAUGCCCUGCUUCCAGGAAAAGCCUCUAAGCAUCAGGUAACAUCAAAUCGUACCCCAAACCGACACAGGUGGUCAGGUAGAGAAUACCAAGGCGCUUGAGAGAACUCGGGUGAAGGAACUAGGCAAAAUGGUGCCGUAACUUCGGGAGAAGGCACGCUGAUAUGUAGGUGAAGCGACUUGCUCGUGGAGCUGAAAUCAGUCGAAGAUACCAGCUGGCUGCAACUGUUUAUUAAAAACACAGCACUGUGCAAACACGAAAGUGGACGUAUACGGUGUGACGCCUGCCCGGUGCCGGAAGGUUAAUUGAUGGGGUCAGCGCAAGCGAAGCUCUUGAUCGAAGCCCCGGUAAACGGCGGCCGUAACUAUAACGGUCCUAAGGUAGCGAAAUUCCUUGUCGGGUAAGUUCCGACCUGCACGAAUGGCGUAAUGAUGGCCAGGCUGUCUCCACCCGAGACUCAGUGAAAUUGAACUCGCUGUGAAGAUGCAGUGUACCCGCGGCAAGACGGAAAGACCCCGUGAACCUUUACUAUAGCUUGACACUGAACAUUGAGCCUUGAUGUGUAGGAUAGGUGGGAGGCUUUGAAGUGUGGACGCCAGUCUGCAUGGAGCCGACCUUGAAAUACCACCCUUUAAUGUUUGAUGUUCUAACGUUGACCCGUGAUCCGGGUUGCGGACAGUGUCUGGUGGGUAGUUUGACUGGGGCGGUCUCCUCCUAAAGAGUAACGGAGGAGCACGAAGGUUGGCUAAUCCUGGUCGGACAUCAGGAGGUUAGUGCAAUGGCAUAAGCCAGCUUGACUGCGAGCGUGACGGCGCGAGCAGGUGCGAAAGCAGGUCAUAGUGAUCCGGUGGUUCUGAAUGGAAGGGCCAUCGCUCAACGGAUAAAAGGUACUCCGGGGAUAACAGGCUGAUACCGCCCAAGAGUUCAUAUCGACGGCGGUGUUUGGCACCUCGAUGUCGGCUCAUCACAUCCUGGGGCUGAAGUAGGUCCCAAGGGUAUGGCUGUUCGCCAUUUAAAGUGGUACGCGAGCUGGGUUUAGAACGUCGUGAGACAGUUCGGUCCCUAUCUGCCGUGGGCGCUGGAGAACUGAGGGGGGCUGCUCCUAGUACGAGAGGACCGGAGUGGACGCAUCACUGGUGUUCGGGUUGUCAUGCCAAUGGCACUGCCCGGUAGCUAAAUGCGGAAGAGAUAAGUGCUGAAAGCAUCUAAGCACGAAACUUGCCCCGAGAUGAGUUCUCCCUGACUCCUUGAGAGUCCUGAAGGAACGUUGAAGACGACGACGUUGAUAGGCCGGGUGUGUAAGCGCAGCGAUGCGUUGAGCUAACCGGUACUAAUGAACCGUGAGGCUUAACCUUACAACGCCGAAGGUGUUU
rnacentral:rRNA from 1 species